AUUGUAAGCCACCAGCUCCUGUUGUCUGUUACCCAGGCCAGUAGCUCCUGUAUCUCACUGUCACUGUCUUCUCCUAGCUGAUUCAAUUUAGGUACUUUGUCAACUAUCUUCUCCUGUAAAACAAAGCUAUGAUCAAGGGAAAGCUUUCUUUCUCUUUCAUAAUACAUCUACUAGAAUAUAUGAAUACUUUUGGUUGAUAUAAUUCCAUGCCUUAUAUCAAUUUUCCUAAGGCUUACAGAAGGUCUUCUGAGAUACAAAGGUUAUGAAACUGACCAAGUAAUGCUCAUUGACUUUCAUGUAUUAGAAUAUCCUACCAGAUUUUUCAUAUCUUUCUCUCCACUUUUAAUGUACUGUGGAGGGAAGGGUUUCAGCACUGUGUCAAACCUGUAGCUGUAUAGGGCAGCAACGAAGAGACUCCAGCGUAAGUCUGUGGCCAGGAAGUGAUCCGACAGUCUCUUUCGCAAAGUUUCAGUGUCUACAGGGGGCCUCUGAUCUCCCAUUUUCCAGACCCUCAGUUUACACCCUAAAAGCAGAAAAAAUCCUAUUCUUUAACCCGAGUCAAAUUUCUUUUUGUUGAAUAGUUAUUGAAAUUUGACAGAUGAAUAUAAUGUUGUACCAUUUAGUCAAACGUUUCCAAAUACUUUGAACUCUUAAUAAUCCAUAUGCUCCAAUAAAUCGACUUAAUGACAAUUGCCCUAUUCAUUGCACUUUUUUAUCUUCAUAUUAAGUAAUUUAUGCCCUAAUUCAGAUUGUCUCCUUCCCAUUUUCAGAAAGAAAAUUUCACAAAUUGCAUUUAUUCUUAGUACCCAUGCAUCUAGUAACAGUGUCAUGUUUUCAUAUUAACAUGAUCUCAUUUUCAUAACUAUUAAAUCUAUACUCAGUCCCAAAUAUUUAUGCAGCAUAUGUUCUUAAAUUAUUCAAAGAGACAUGGUGACGCAAAAACUAUGAUGUACCAAAUAUUGAAUUUUUUCAUGAUUUCUACUUGUUUCAUAUAUCACAUGAACAGAUGAACUUUUGAAAAAUUACGAUGUUCAAAAGUAAAUAAAUCC
rnacentral:sRNA from 1 species